UCCGCUCCAAGUUAGUCGGGAGCUAAGGUGAGGCCGAGAGGCGUAGCCGAUGCACAGACGGUAGAGAUUCCGUCACCACCAAAAGAGUUAAGCACAGGGACACUUUUGAAGUCUCAGAGCCGGGUGUUGGUUCCGGUAGAGAUCGAGGGAAGUUAGUACCGAAGUCUGAGAUGGAAGAUGGCGAGAAAAGCUGUGUGGAUUUCUGAGGUGCCCGUACCGCAAACCGACACAGGUAGGUAGGAAGAAGAUUCUAAGGCCAACGGGAGAAGGGUUGUUAAGGAACUCGGCAAAUUGACCCCGUAACUUCGGGAGAAGGGGUGCUCCAGAGAUGGAGCCGCAGAGAAUCGGCCCAAGCAACUGUUUACCAAAAACACAGGUCUGUGCUAAAUCGAAAGAUGACGUAUACGAGCUGACGCCUGCCCCGUGCUGGAAGGUUAAGAGGAGAUGUGCAAGCAUUGAAUCGAAGCCCCAGUGAACGGCGGCCGUAACAAUAACGGUCCUAAGGUAGCGAAAUUCCUUGUCAGGUAAGUUCUGACCCGCAUGAAAGGCGUAAUGAUUUGGGCACUGUCUCAACAGCCCGCCCGGCGAAAUUGUAGUACCGGUGAAGAUGCCGGUUACCCGCGACAAGACGGAAAGACCCCAUGGAGCUUUACUGUAGCCUAAUAUUGGGUUUCGAUGUUGCAUGCACAGGAUAGAUGGGACUCUGGGAAACCAGUGCUUUGGCGCUGGCGGAGAGGCCGUUGGGAUACCAUCCUUGCGAUAUUGGAAUUCUAACCUGCGGCUCUGAAUCGAGUCGGGGGACAUUGUUAGGUGGGCAGUUUGACUGGGGCGGUCGCCUCCUAAAAAGUAACGGAGGCGUUCAAAGGUUCGCUCAGCUUGAACGGAAAUCAAGCAAAAGAGUGCAAACGCAGAAGCGAGCCUAACUGCGAGACUGACGGGUCGAGCAGUAACGAAAGUUGGAGUUAGUGAUCCGGUGGUAUGUGAGUGGAAAUGCCAUCGCUCAACGGAUAAAAGUUACCCUGGGGAUAACAGGCUGAUCUCCCCCAAGAGUCCACAUCGACGGGGAGGUUUGGCACCCCGAUGUCGGCUCAUCGCAUCCUGGGGCUGUAUUCGGUCCCAAGGGUUUGGCAGUUCGCCAAUUAAAGCGGUACGCGAGCUGGGUUCAGAACGUCGUGAGACAGUUCGGUCCCUAUCUGUCGUGGGCGCAGGAUAUUUGAUGGGAGCUGUCCCUAGUACGAGAGGACCGGGACGGACGUACCUCUGGCGCACCAGUUGUUCUGCCAAGAGCAUAGCUGGGCAACUACGUACGGAUCGGAUAAACGCUGAAAGCAUCUAAGCGUGAAGCCGACCCAAAGAUAAGAUAUCCCACUGUUUCAAACAGGUAAGAUCCCUCGAAGACUACAAGGUUGAUAGGCACGAUGUGUAAGUGGAGUGAUCCAUUCAGCAAGCGUGUACUAAUAGAUCGAGGGCUUGACC
rnacentral:rRNA from 1 species